ensembl:lncRNA
GUGUGAUUGGGGGCAGGUUUUUAAAGAGAGGUCAAGUGAAGAAGCCAGGACAGGAGUUGUUUAAGAGUGAGGUGUUCAAGUAUUUCACAGCUCAGGAUUUGUAUGUGGGAGCUCGGCUGGAUCUGAACAAUCAGCCCAUCCAGCUGCUGAAUGCUGAUUAAUUUACAUUCAACUACAUGGAGCAGCAUGCAGAUGAGAUCUGGACAUCUCUCUUCUUAAGAGGCACAGAUCAUCUUGAAGGCCUUCCAACUGCCGCUGUCUGAUGACCUAAAAAAAAGCCUUCCUCGAAAAGUUUCAAGAUGAGUCUGAGAAGAUCACGCCUUCCUAUCCGCUAUCAACUGGAGAGAAAACCCGACCCCUGCUGUGCUUCCAGAUGUCACCGUGAAGGGAUUGUAGGACCAUACAUAGCGAUUUCAAGAUGGAUCCAUGAGAAGCAAGCCAGGCUGUGUGAUUCUGUGUUUUUUGCUUUGCUCACUGAUUUUUCAUAGCUCAUUUCGUGGUGUUUAUUGACUGUUAAAUUAGCCAGUUUCCAGCCAUUUCCUGUGGCCCCUGUUGAACCUAAACUAGCAGCCAUUACAUUGGUGAAUUACCCUGCAUUUAUCAAAUACUUCUUAGUAUGAAAGAAAGAAGAACAAGACCACACUGAAACUGUAAGGAUCAAUCGGUCUGUGUAACCUGUCUUGUCUAGUGACUAGAGCAAUGUUUCAUAAAAACCACAUGAAGCUCUGUGCAUAAAAAUUAUGUAUACUCACUAUAUUUUACAUCUGGGACAGGGUAACCAGAUGCCCCAUUUUCUUCCCCUUUGGUGACCAAUAUGCACUGAAAUCCAGUGUUAUUUUAAUAUUAUUUAUAUUAUAGUAUUUAUUCAUAUUAUUUUAGUAUACUAUUAUAAUCAUUUUGCAUAUUUUGAAUUAGCUUCAGCUUUGUAUUUUCAGUUUUAUUUUUCAUUUUAAUAAUUUUGUUAUGUAGUCUUGUCAUAUUUAAUUCAAUUUUUUUAUAUAUUUCUAUAUAGCUUUACUUUAUUUUUUUAAGUUUUAGCCAUUUUUGUACUUCAGUUUAAAUUUUCAUUUAGUAUUUUUUUUAUUUUAUUUUAUGUCUGCUCUGUUUAAUUAAAAAAAAGAUUUGUAAUCAUUUUAGGUUUAGUUAACAUCAAUAACAUUGCUGAUAUCAUCGUCCAUCGAUAAACAUUAGUUUAAGGAAAAUGAUUGUGCUGCGAGUUACUCUGAACAGUUUUUACAGUUCAUAAGUAUGUGUUGAUGACUACACUAAUUUAUGGUAGUACGUCAGAGUAUGAUAUACCAUAUUUCAUCGCAGUGUAGUACAUUAAACAUGUUCAAAACAAACAAAACUGUCCCCGUUUUUAAAUUCAUAGAUAUUAACCAUUGGAUAUUUCAAUGAUAUAUAGACUGCUGAACUAGAAAUGUUCCCAGUUUUCAUUUGAGAAAUCUGGUCACCUUAACAUUGAGCAAUAAAAAAAAUCUUAUCUGCA